rnacentral:miRNA from 1 species
UUGAGUCUUAGAUGAGUG